UACGUAGGUGGCAAGCGUUGUCCGGAAUUAUUGGGCGUAAAGCGCGCGCAGGCGGUCCUUUAAGUCUGAUGUGAAAGCCCACGGCUCAACCGUGGAGGGUCAUUGGAAACUGGGGGACUUGAGUGCAGGAGAGAAGAGUGGAAUUCCACGUGUAGCGGUGAAAUGCGUAGAGAUGUGGAGGAACACCAGUGGCGAAGGCGGGCUACUGGGCCGAUACUGACGCUGAGGCGCGAAAGCCAGGGGAGCAAACGGG
rnacentral:rRNA from 1 species